GAAUUUUGCAGGCAAAUGCAUGAAACUUGAGAAUAUCAUCCUGAGUGAGGUAACCCAGUUCCAAAAAGGCACAUAUGGUAUGUACUCACUUAGAAGUAGACAGUAAGUAGCCUUAAAGUUCAAGAUAAACAUGCUACAAUCCAUAGACCCAAAGAAACAAAGUAAUAAGGAGGUCCCAAGGGAGGGUGCUUAAAUCUCACUCAGAAAGGGAAACAAAAUAAUCAUCAGAGGUGGAUGGAGAGGAAGUGAGGAUAGGAAGGGGGAUGGAAUAGAGUGUGGGGAGAACAGCAGGAGAGGGCUUGAAGUGAGAAUGGAAAUUGUUGAGGUGCAUCUCUGGGACUAGCUGGAGACCUGGGACAGGCUCUGGAGAAUCUAAGGGGGUGAUCCUAGCUGAGAUUCCUAGCAGAUGGGGAUGUGGAGACUGAAGUGCCCACCUCCUAUAGCCAGGCAGGACUUCCAGUGGAGGGAGGAGCACAUCAAUCCACUCACAAAUCCUUCAACCCCAAAUUGUCAUUUCUAUAAGUUGUGCAGGGAUAAAGAUGGAGCAGAGACGGAGGAAACAGCCAACCAAUGACUGCCCCAACUUGAGAGUCAUUCCAUGGGGGAGAGCCAAUCCAUGACACAUUUUUUCCCGCUUAUUUAUUUAUUUAUUUAUUAUUUAUUCACCCACUUAAAUCCUGUUCGCCAGCUGGUCCCCCCUCACAAGUCCCUCCCACCUUACCCCCUUCUCCUUUGAGAAGGUGGAGGUCCCCCUGGGUAUCUAUCCUCCAACCCUGGCACAUCAAGUCUCUGCAAGGCUAGUUGCAUCCUCUCCCACUGAGGCCAGACAAGGUAGGCCAGUUAGGGGAAUGGAUUCCACAAACAGGCAACAGCUUUAGGGACAGCCCCCGCUCAAGUUGUUGGGGGACACUCAUAAAGACUGAGCUGCACAUCUGCUGCAUAUAUGCAGGAAAGUAGGUCCAGCCCGUGUAUGCUCUUUGCUUGGUGGUUCAGUCUCUGAGAGCCCCAAGGGUCAAGGUUGACAUUAUUAAUGAUACUGUGCUUUUCUUACAGACAAGAACCUAGCAUAUUUGUCUCUCGAGAGGCUUUAUCCAGCAGCAGAUGGAGGCAGAUGCAGAGAUACACAGCCAGACAUCAGGAGAAGCUCCAGGUGCCUUGUGGAAGAGUGGGGGAUAGAAAUGAUCAAGCCAGAGAGAUCAAGAACACCCAAAGAAAACCUACAGAAUCAACUAACAUGGGCCCACGGGAGAUCACAGAGACUGAACUACUAACCAAAGAGCAGACAGAGGCUGGAUCUAAGACCCCUACACAUUUAGAGUAGAGGUGCAACUUGUCCUCAUGUGGGUCCUCUAUCAAUUGGAAUGGGGGCUGUCCCUGAUUGUGUUCCCUGUCACUGGAUCCUCUUCUCCUACCUUGACUACCUGGUUGGGCCUCAGUGGGAGAAGAUGUGCUUAGUCCUGCUGGGACUAGAUGUCUCAAGGCAGGGUGGUACCCUAGGGGGCGG
rnacentral:lncRNA from 1 species